UCACCAACAUCCACUAUAAGGGCUCAUUGAGAUCCAUAUUGAUGUAUCAGUCAAACUCCAGCAACCUCACUACGAGCAAUAGUAUUAUCUCAGAUCAAAAGACCAGUCAUACAGCUGCAGCAUUAAGAAAGUCACUAACGAGUGAGCAGACAUCUUUGUGACUUCUCAUAUUGGUCACGCUCAGUGCUAGUUGUUCUUUAACAAUCACCUAUACUCUCGCUCUAGUAUCUUUAUACUGCAGACUCGAGAUCCAACUGUCC
rnacentral:lncRNA from 1 species